UUUAAUUCGAUGCAACGCGAAGAACCUUACCUGGCCUUGACAUCCACGGAAUUCUGCAGAGAUGCGGGAGUGCCUUCGGGAACCGUGAGACAGGUGCUGCAUGGCUGUCGUCAGCUCGUGUCGUGAGAUGUUGGGUUAAGUCCCGCAACGAGCGCAACCCUCGUCCUUAGUUGCCAUCAUUUAGUUGGGAACUCUAAGGAGACCGCCGGUGACAAACCGGAGGAAGGUGGGGAUGACGUCAAGUCAUCAUGGCCUUUAUGGCCAGGGCUACACACGUGCUACAAUGGCAGGUACAGAGGGAAGCCAACGCGCGAGCGGGAGCCAAUCCCAGAAAGCCUGUCGUAGUCCGGAUCGGAGUCUGCAACUCGACUCCGUGAAGUCGGAAUCGCUAGUAAUCGCAGAUCAGCAUUGCUGCGGUGAAUACGUUCCCGGGUCUUGUACACACCGCCCGUCACACCAUGGGAGUUGAUUGCACCAGAAGCAGGUAGCCUAACCGCAAGGGUGGCGCCUACCACGGUGUGGUCAAUGACUGGGGUGAAGUCGUAACAAGGUAGCCGUACGGGAACGUGCGGCUGGAUCACCUCCUUA
rnacentral:rRNA from 1 species